rnacentral:rRNA from 1 species
AGCGAACAUUGGCGGUAGGCUUAACACAUGCAAGUCGAGCGAGGCGUAAUAGUCGAGCGGCGAACGGGUGAGUAACACAUGGGAAUCUACCUCGAAGUGGGGGAUAACGUCCAGAAAUGGACGCUAAUACCGCAUAAUCCAUAUUGGGAAAGCGCGCUGCGCUUUGCGAUGAGCCCAUGGCUGAUUAGCUAGUUGGUGAGGUAACGGCUUACCAAGGCGACGAUCAGUAGCUGGUCUGAGAGGAUGAUCAGCCACACUUGAACUGAGACACGGUCCAGGCUCCUGCGGGAUGCAGCAGUGGGGCAUCUUGCGCAAUGGGGGCAACCCUGACGCAGCCAUACCGCGGGUGUGAUGAAGGUCUUCGGAUUGUAAAGCACUUUCAGUAGGGGCGACGAUGACGGUACCUACAGAAGAAGUCACGGCUAACUUCGUGCCAGCCGCCGCAGUAA